UCAGCAUAAAUAAAGCAUUUUAUUCAAAUUAAACUGAAAUUGGAUAAAAAGUAAGACAUUAUUUAGUUCAAGCUUCAGAAACCAAAUAGUAAAUAAAGACAAAUGAGAAAGAGUUUUCUCUUCCCUCCCCUCUUUUUAUAAAAACACUUUUAACUCCAAAAGAAUAUACAGACCAACAGCAAUGAUCGAAACUUGGCUUUUACAUUCUAAUAUCUGGUUUGAACUUUCUAAAGAUGAAUAAAAGGUCUUUAUAUUGACUGGCUAGGAAAAAAAUAAAACUGAACUCUGCAGAUGGUCAGGCCAUUCUUGCUAUCAAAAAGCACAACAUACAUG
rnacentral:lncRNA from 1 species